AGUCGAACGCACUCUCGUUUAGAUUGAAGGAGCUUGCUCCUGAUUGAUAAACAUUUGAGUGAGUGGCGGACGGGUGAGUAACACGUGGGUAACCUGCCCUAAAGUGGGGGAUAACAUUUGGAAACAGAUGCUAAUACCGCAUAAAACCUAACACCGCAUGGUGUAGGGUUGAAAGAUGGUUUCGGCUAUCACUUUAGGAUGGACCCGCGGUGCAUUAGUUAGUUGGUGAGGUAAAGGCUCACCAAGACCGUGAUGCAUAGCCGACCUGAGAGGGUAAUCGGCCACACUGGGACUGAGACACGGCCCAGACUCCUACGGGAGGCAGCAGUAGGGAAUCUUCCACAAUGGACGAAAGUCUGAUGGAGCAACGCCGCGUGAGUGAAGAAGGUUUUCGGAUCGUAAAACUCUGUUGUUGGAGAAGAAUGUAUCUGAUAGUAACUGAUCAGGUAGUGACGGUAUCCAACCAGAAAGCCACGGCUAACUACGUGCCAGCAGCCGCGGUAAUACGUAGGUGGCAAGCGUUGUCCGGAUUUAUUGGGCGUAAAGCGAGCGCAGGCGGUUUCUUAAGUCUGAUGUGAAAGCCUUCGGCUCAACCGAAGAAGUGCAUCGGAAACUGGGAAACUUGAGUGCAGAAGAGGACAGUGGAACUCCAUGUGUAGCGGUGAAAUGCGUAGAUAUAUGGAAGAACACCAGUGGCGAAGGCGGCUGUCUGGUCUGUAACUGACGCUGAGGCUCGAAAGCAUGGGUAGCAAACAGGAUUAGAUACCCUGGUAGUCCAUGCCGUAAAACGAUGAGUGCUANGUGUUGGAGGGUUUCCGCCCUUCAGUGCCGCAGCUAACGCAUUAAGCACUCCGCCUGGGGAGUACGACCGCAAGGUUGAAACUCAAAGGAAUUGACGGGGGCCC
rnacentral:rRNA from 2 species